UACGAAGGGUGCAAGCGUUACUCGGAAUUACUGGGCGUAAAGCGUGCGUAGGUGGUUUGUUAAGUCUGUUGUGAAAGCCCCGGGCUCAACCUGGGAAUGGCAAUGGAUACUGGCAAGCUAGAGUGCGGUAGAGGGUAGUGGAAUUCCCGGUGUAGCAGUGAAAUGCGUAGAUAUCGUGAGGAAGACCAGUGGCGAAGGCGGAUCUCUGGACAGUUCCUGACGCUGAGGCGCGAAGGCCAGGGGAGCAAACGGG
rnacentral:rRNA from 1 species